rnacentral:lncRNA from 1 species
AACUUUGGGUAUAAUUUGUUGUGCAGCAAUAAAUAGCUAAUAUACAAUAUUUCCACUGAGAAGUUAACUGUUAUUUUGAACUCUGAAUCUCAUAUAGACCAGUGUUCACUUUAUCUUACUCUCUCUCUCUCCUCUCUCUCACUCUCUGUCUCUGAAAUUUCUUCAGAUUUUUUAUUUGUUUCUGGUGCUCUUACUUUUCACAAUGUUGGAACUUAUUGAUGGUUCUGUCUGUGUCUAUUGGGCUGGACAUGCUUUAGGAUCUUUUAUAACCUGUACUCAGUUUGAGUAGUUUCUUGGGUUGAUUCCGUUUUGAUUUUCUCAUUUCUUUGGAAAUUUAUAAUUUUAAAAUUUUGGACCACUGAGAACAUUUUUAAAUUGUCUUAAUCUAACUUUCCACUUCUAUUCUUUUGCCUAUUCUUCUUAGAUAAUUUUUACACUUUAUUUUCAAGCCCUUCUAUUAAUAUUUUUAUUUCUGCUGUGUUAUUUCUAAGACUUACAGAUUUUAUAAUGCUAUUUUUUAGCAUCUCUCCUAUUUUGUGGAUAUGUCAUCUUUUCUCUCUGAAUAUGAUAAUGAGGCUUUCAUUUGUUUUCUAAGUUUUUAUAUCCCUAGGUAUUUACUGUUUUGAUAAUUUUUUCUUCCCUGUUUGUUUGCUUUGCUUUUUUCUUCCAAGAUAAAGCCUGGAAGCUGCACGUCACCUGCCAGCUUUGUGUGUGCCCAGUGAGGUGGCAUAAUGACCAGCGGUGACUUGAAUGACAAGGGGACAGAACAGCUGGACAAUCCAAUUCCUAGAUGCUUUCUCCAGUUAUGGCCCUGACUGGGAUCUCCGAAGAAUGACUCAGCUGAAACUAUUUCAUCAUUGCCUACAUUUGUCUUCAGACGACCUGCAGUACAAACUUGGCUUAAACCUGCAGUUGACAAUGGAUUCACCGUGGGAGAAUAAAUUACAAUGGAUAAAAAACAGCAUUACAAUCCCUCAAUAAAAUGGGAUUUUAACAGACAAAGCUGAAUCUCCAUGUGCUCUCUCUCUCUUCUAACAUCAAUGCAGCUCCUGGUAUGUGGUCGUUCUCAGGCCCAAAGGCCCAUUUUGCUUUUGGCUGCAACUCUGUAACUCUGUAACAGAGACCAAGUGCCUGCAGGGAGCAGAUGUUUGGGGCAGUAUCUGCUAAGGUGGCUUUGCUGAAACUUGUUUCUCUCAUUGGGUCUUGGAAGUGGCGAAUAGGACGUUCCUAUAGAAAAACUCAGAAAGAGACUGUGAAAGAUAAUCUUAAAGAGGCACUCACGAAACACAAGCUCCUUCUCCGGGAAAAAGAAUCAUCACCCUUGUUAUCCCAUGAAAAUUCAUCUUCUCCUUUUCAGCUGAUAUGAGGACUUGAUCUGUCCUUUCCUAUAAGUGCCAUCUGUGUUUAAAUGAGGCUGUUACUCUAACUCAAAGCAGACUUGCAAGAGUAAAAUAAUCAAUCUUCAUCAUAUUGCUGCACUUUCGACAGUUAAUUUUCUAGAGUAAUUUGUCAUUGUGAGGAGCAUAAGAUUUGUCUGAAUUUGUGUCAAAGGUUAUUGACUGAAUUGCCACCUCAUCUUUUCAGUCAAUCUAUAAAUAUGGGCAAGUUUGGGCAGAGGCUAAUGGCCUUCUCACUAAGGGGAUGAGAUUGUCCAAGUUAGGCAACUGAUAAGAGGUAGAAAUAUCUAUUGUGUCACCCAUUUCUUGUGGUAGCAUUGACUUAGAGUUAAUCUCAGAAACUUCACUUAACCUUCUUAAUCCUUUUCUUCCUGUAAAACAAGGCUAAAAAUUGUCAUAACUAUAUUCUAGUUUCCACAAAAGCUAAUCUAAGUAUUAAAAUUUUUAUUGUGACUUUGUGAGAGUGAUCCUGUAUUUUUCACAAAACUAAGAAGAAAAUAUUUUUAUUUAGUGUUUUUCUAUGAAUAGCUUUUGGUUUUUGGAAAAACCAUCUGAUCUUUAUUACUAAGAUUCUUGCUUCUUAGGUCAAAUUCUUGUUCCCUGUCUUUAUAUAGAGUCUAAUAUUGGGAACAUACCCAAGGACCACAUGGAUAAUUUUAUGAUGCUUGCUGACUAUUAUGUUUCUUGCCCACUUUAAUAGCCUAAUAAUAAUAGUUACGAAUUCUUAUUGAGAAAUAGCCAUUCUUAAUCAAUGCCAAUGACAGUGUUUCCUCUUUCAGACUGAAGGAAAAACAGGGAGAAAACCAGUUCAUAUAUUAUGGUUAAACACUGAUAAAACAUUUUGGUUAAAUAUCUGCCUUCAUGGGUUAUUGCAAAAUAGAUUAGUUUAAAGCUCAUCUAGCCCUGAAAUAUACAGUUAGAUUAUUUUUUAUGGAUUUCAAUUAUUUUUAUUUCAUUACAGUUAUUUUUUUUUCAAUACAUGGCCUGUUUGAAGAUACAUCAUAGUAAUGGUAACAGCAGCAACCACUGCAGUAAAUAACUGACAAUUGCUGAACAAUUCAUGUCUGCCAUGCCAUGCUAUGAGGGCCUUAAGGAAUAAAUACAACUUAUAUUCAUAAUAAACAUAGGAGGUUGUAGAAGGCUAAAUAAUGGGUCACCAAAGAUACCCACAUCCCAUAAUUCCUGUAACUGGUGACUAUGUUACCUUGCAUGGUAGAAGGGAUUUUGCAGUUGAGGUUAAGGUUAAAGACUUUAUAAAGGCAGAUUAUCUUGGAUUAUCUGGGUGGGUCUUUAAAAGCGGAAGAGAAAAGCAGAAAAGCAAGUCAGACAGACAGAUGCAACUACAGAAGAGACAGUAGGGACUCAACUCAAAUGACUAACUUUGAAGAUGGAGGAGGUGGUCCAUGAGGCAAGGAAUGCACUUGCUUCUAGAAGCUGGGAAUAACCCACAGCUAGAAGCAAAGUAGGAAAUGGAAGUCUCAAUUCUACAUCGUAAGGAAGUGAAUUCUGCCAAUAACUUGAAAGAGAAGGAAAUAGAUUCCCUCCAGAGGCUCUAGAAAAUAAUGUAUCCCUGCUGACACCUUAAUUUGAUUUGAGCCCCAUGAGACCCACGUUGGACUUCUGACUUAUGGAGCUUGUAAGAUAAUAAAUUUGCAUUGUUUCAGCCACUACAUUUGUGGAAAUUUGUUACAACCACAAUAGGAAACUCAUAGAAUAGUAAUCACUAGUAAUAUCUUCAUUUAACAGUUGAGGAAAUUGAGGCAGGACAACACAAGUUAUAAAAAUUAUCUCAGUUCUUAGUAGAGUUCCUGGCAUAUGACAAGCAGUUAAUGUCUUUGUAGAAUGAAUGAAUGAAUAAAUAAAUAGAUUUUUUCUUAUGCUUUCCCAAA